CGUGGGUAACCUGCCUCAGUACAGGGGGAUAGCAGUUGGAAACGACUGACUAAUACCGCAUAAGCGACACAGUACCGCUAUGGUACAGUAGUGAAAAAACUCCGGUGGUAUGAGAGUCGGACCCGCGUCUGAUUAGCUUGUUGGCGGGGUAACGGCCCACCAAGGCGACGAUCAGUAGCCGGCCUGAGAGGGUGAACGGCCACAUUGGGACUGAGACACGGCCCAAACUCCUACGGGAGGCAGCAGUGGGGAAUAUUGCACAAGUGGGGAAACCCUGAUGCAGCCGACGCCGCGUGAAGGAUGAAGUAUUUCGGUAUGUAAACUUCUAUCAGCAGGGAAGAUGAUGACGGUACCUGACUAAGAACGCCCCGGCUAACUACGUGCCAGCCGCUGC
rnacentral:rRNA from 1 species